rnacentral:rRNA from 1 species
GACGAACGCUGGCGGCGUGCUUAACACAUGCAAGUCGAACGAUGAAGCCGGAGCUUGCUCUGGUGAAUUAGUGGCGAACGGGUGAGUAACACGUGAGUAACCUGCCCUUGACUCUGGGAUAACUGCUAGAAAUGGUAGCUAAUACCGGAUACGACCCUCGGCGGCAUCGCCAGGGGGUGGAAAGAAUUUCGGUCAAGGAUGGACUCGCGGCCUAUCAGCUAGUUGGUGAGGUAACGGCUCACCAAGGCGACGACGGGUAGCCGGCCUGAGAGGGUGACCGGCCACACUGGGACUGAGAAACGGCCCAGACUCCUACGGGAGGCAGCAGUGGGGAAUAUUGCACAAUGGGCGCAAGCCUGAUGCAGCAACGCCGCGUGAGGGAUGACGGCUUUCGGGUUGUAAACCUCUUUUAGUAGGGAAGAAGCGAAAGUGACGGUACCUGCAGAAAAAGCACCGGCUAACUACGUGCCAGCAGCCGCGGUAA